UACAGAGGUGGCAAGCGUUGUUCGGAAUUACUGGGCGUAAAGGGCGCGUAGGUGGCCUUUUGAGUCAGACGUGAAAUCCCCGGGCUUAACCUGGGAACUGCGCUUGUUACUGGCAAGCUGGAGUGUGGCAGAGGGGGGUGGAAUUCCACGUGUAGCAGUGAAAUGCGUAGAGAUGUGGAGGAACACCGACGGCGAAGGCAGCCUCCUGGGCCAAUACUGACGCUCAUGCACGAAAGCGUGGGGAGCAAAC
rnacentral:rRNA from 1 species